rnacentral:rRNA from 1 species
AUGGCGGGAGGAGGAGGCGGCGGCGCGCACCCGGGGGCGGUGUCCUACUGGUACGACGCGUGCGAGGACGAGGACGACCCGUCCCUGCUCUUCGACUUCGCCGCGUCCGCCGACUUCGACCCGGGCCUCAUGUCCGCCAUGGACAGCGGCAGCGGCAUCGACUUCGCCCCGGGGCUCGUGCCCUUGCCCUCCAUGGACUGCGGCAUCGACUUCGCGUCCGCGGAUUUCGACCCGGGCCUCUUGCCCGCCAUGGACUGCGGCGUCGAAGACGGCUUGGUCGACGAGAUAGACCUGAUACUCGAGAGCAUCAACGACGAGAGCACCCCCGCCCCCGCGCCGCAGCCCCCGCCGUCUCAGCCUGUGGUUCCCCCGCCGCCAGCGGAGCGGGUGCAGGAGACUGCUGCUGCGUCUGUGGCCGACAAUGCUGUGGCGGUGGUGGGCUCGGGGCAGAGGAGCCAGGCUGUCGAGCCGAGGAGGGAGACGAGAAGCGUCGAGCCACGGAAGGAGACGAGAAGCGUCGACCCAAGGAGGGAGCCGAGAAGGGAGUCGCAUGGUGGUUCCACGAACGGCGGUCGCGCCGGGGAGUGGAGAGAUGGGAAGCGUCCUCGCCUCGCCCCUGGGGCUCACGGGGAGCCACGCCCUGAUUCGCGGCGGCGCCCGAUGCUUCCGCCUCCCUCGCGUGGUUGGGAGGAACGGCGUGGGAGGCGCGACUUCGUUGACAGGCCCCGCAAGCGCGACCGCGACAGUAACCCUGCCCACCGCCGCGAGGCUCGAGGGUUCUGGGAGCGGGACCGCGGCGGCAAGAUGGUGUUCCGCCCUGGCACCUGGGAGCAGGAGUCUGAGCGCGAGGGAAAGCGUGCCAGGACACAGAACGGAGGCUCCGUGGAGAAGAAUGCAGAGGCGGAUAAGGCGGCUUCUGCCCAGAAGGAGAAGCCUCUCGCAGAGGAGCAGGCGAGACAUUACCAGUUGGAGGUGCUUGAGCAAGCAAAGAGCAGAAACACCAUAGCCUUCCUCGAGACCGGCGCGGGGAAGACUCUCAUUGCUGUGCUGCUCAUCAAAAGCAUAUGUGACAAAAUGAUGAAGGAGAACAGGAAAAUACUUGCUGUGUUCUUGGUUCCCAAGGUGCCUCUUGUGUAUCAGCAAGCUGAGGUGAUACGCGAGAGGACUGGCUAUCGGGUCGGGCACUACUGUGGAGAGAUGGGUCAGGAUUUCUGGGAUGCUAGAAAGUGGCAGCGAGAAUUUGAUUCGAAACAGGUACUAGUUAUGACAGCUCAAAUUUUGUUAAACAUCCUCAGGCACAGUAUCAUUAAAAUGGAUGCCAUACAUCUUUUAAUUUUAGAUGAGUGCCAUCAUGCAGUGAAAAAACAUCCAUAUUCUUUAGUGAUGUCAGAAUUUUAUCACACAACUCCGAAGGAUAAGAGGCCAGUUGUUUUUGGCAUGACAGCUUCUCCUGUCAACCUAAAGGGAGUCACUAGCCAAGAAGAUUGUGCCAUCAAGAUAAGAAAUCUUGAGAGUAAACUGGAUUCCAUUGUUUGUACUAUUAAAGAUCGGAAAGAGCUUGAGAAACAUGUCCCCAUGCCUUUUGAAGUCGUUGUCCAGUAUGACAAAGCAGCCACCCUUUGUUCCCUGCAUGAGCAGAUCAAACAAAUGGAAGUUGCUGUUGAAGAAGCUGCACUCUGUAGCUCUAAGAGAACAAAGUGGCAGUUUAUGGGAGCCAGGGAUGCUGGGUCUAGAGAUGAGCUGCGCCUUGUCUAUGGUGUUUCUGAGCGUACAGAAAGUGAUGGCGCAGCUAAUUUAAUCCAGAAGUUGAGAGCUAUAAAUUAUGCUUUAGGUGAACUAGGUCAAUGGUGUGCUUAUAAGGUUGCAGUGUCCUUUUUGACAGUAUUGCAGAAUGAUGAAAGGGCAAACUAUCAGGUUGAUGUAAAGUUUCAAGAGUCACAUUUAAAGAAGGUUGUUGCUUUAUUGCACUGCCAGUUGACUGAGGGAGCUGCAGUGAAAAGUGAGACGAAUGAUGUUGAGAUGCAUAACAGUGAAAAUCACAACCCAAGUGAACUUGAAGAUGGGGAGCUGCCUGAUAGCCAUGCUGUUUCUGUAGGUGAACAUGUAGAUGAGGUCAUCGGAGCUGCCGUGGCAGAUGGGAAAGUUACCCCUAGGGUGCAGGCUUUAAUCAAAAUCCUUCUCAAGUAUCAGCAUACCGAGGAUUUCCGUGCCAUCAUCUUUGUGGAGCGAGUUGUCACGGCAUUAGUUCUUCCUAAGGUGCUUGCAGAGCUUCCAUCUUUAAGCUUUAUCCGAUGUGCAAGCUUGAUAGGUCAUAACAACAAUCAAGAGAUGCGCACAAGCCAAAUGCAGGAUACCAUUGCAAAAUUUCGUGAUGGCCGUGUUACACUGUUAGUUGCGACUAGUGUUGCUGAGGAAGGACUUGAUAUUCGACAGUGCAAUGUUGUCAUUCGCUUUGACCUUGCAAAGACAGUCUUGGCCUAUGUACAGUCUCGUGGUCGUGCCAGAAAGCCUGGAUCUGACUACAUAUUGAUGGUUGAAAGGGGAAAUUUGGCACAUGAAACUUUCUUGAGGAAUGCUCGAAAUAGUGAGGAGACGUUGAGAAAAGAGGCUAUAGAAAGAACUGAUCUCAGUCAUCUUGAUGGUACUCUGUUAAAUUCCAUUGAUACAUCACCUGAUUCGAUGUACCAGGUCGAAUCCACAGGUGCUGUUGUCAGCUUGAAUUCUGCAGUUGGGCUCGUACAUUUUUACUGUUCACAGCUACCAAGUGACAGGUACUCAAUUCUUCAUCCAGAAUUUAUUAUGCAGAAACAUGAGAAGCCAGGGGGUUCCAUGGAAUAUUCUUGCAAACUUCAACUUCCCUGUAAUGCUCCAUUUGAGAAACUUGAGGGUCCUAUAUGCGGCUCAAUUCGUCUGGCACAGCAAGCUGUUUGUUUGGCUGCCUGUAAGAAGCUGCAUGAGAUGAAUGCCUUCACAGAUAUGCUUUUACCUGAUAGAGGAAGUGGGGAAGGAGAGAAGACCGAACAGAAUGAAGGUGAUCCACUCCCUGGAACGGCACGCCAUAGAGAGUUUUAUCCUGAAGGUGUUGCUGAAAUUUUGAGAGGAGAAUGGAUUUUAUGUGGAAGAGAUGGCUGCCAAAGCACUCAAUUUGUUAAGUUGUAUAUGUAUUCUGUGAAUUGUGUGGAUGUAGGGACAUCUAAGGACCCUUCCCUUGCACAACUUUCGAAUUUUUCUAUUAUUUUUGGCAGUGAGCUGGAUGCAGAGGUUUUAUCGACACCAAUGGAUCUCUUUGUUGCCAGGACAAUGAUAACAAAGGCAUCUCUUGUAUUCCGUGGACCAAUUGAAGUUACAGAAAGUCAGCUGGUUCUGCUGAAGAGCUUUCAUGUUAGGCUCAUGAGCAUAGUCCUUGAUGUUGAUGUUGAUCCCUCAACUACACCUUGGGAUCCAGCAAAAGCAUACCUCUUUGUCCCUGUAGGAGCUGAGAAGUGUACAGAUGCUUUAAGAGAGAUCGAUUGGACUUUAGUCAACAGCAUUGUGAAUACUGAUGCCUGGAAUAAUCCACUUCAGAAGGCACGACCAGAUGUCUACCUAGGCACCAAUGAGAGGACACUCGGUGGAGAAAAGAGAGAGUAUGGGUUUGGAAAAUUGCGUAAUGGAACAGCUUUUGGACAGAAGGCACAUCCGACUUAUGGUAUCAGAGGAGCCAUUGCUGACUUUGAUAUCGUCAAAGCAUCUGGAUUAGUUCCUUCUCGUGAUAGAGGGUAUUCAAGCGAGUAUCAGAACCAAGGCAAGUUGUUCAUGGCAGAUUCAUGCUGGGAUGCUAAAGACCUUUCUGGGAUGGUUGUCACUGCUGCCCACUCAGGAAAGCGGUUCUAUGUGGACUGUAUUUGCUAUAACAUGAAUGCAGAAAAUUCAUUUCCUAGGAAGGAAGGCUACCUGGGGCCUUUGGAAUAUAGCUCAUAUGCCGAUUACUACAAGCAGAAAUAUGGUGUGGAGCUAGUGUAUAAGAAACAGCCUCUUAUACGUGCACGUGGUGUUUCCUAUUGCAAGAAUCUUCUGUCUCCUAGAUUUGAGCAUUCUGAAGCUAGAGAAGGUGACUUUUCGGAGAACGUUGACAAAACAUACUAUGUCUAUUUACCUCCCGAACUCUGUCUUGUGCACCCACUUCCUGGAUCACUUAUUCGUGGAGCUCAGAGGUUGCCAUCAAUAAUGAGAAGGGUUGAGAGUAUGCUUCUUGCAGUUCAAUUGAAGGAAACAAUUGAUUAUCCUGUUCCUGCAGUUAAGAUAUUAGAAGCCUUGACUGCUGCAUCAUGCCAGGAAACAUUCUGCUAUGAAAGAGCAGAGUUACUGGGUGAUGCAUACCUGAAAUGGGUUGUGAGUAGAUUCCUUUUCCUAAAAUAUCCUCAGAAGCAUGAGGGACAGCUUACAAGGAUGCGGCAGCAGAUGGUCAGUAACAUGGUCCUCUACCAAUUUGCCCUGAAUAAAACUCUUCAGUCGUAUAUUCAAGCAGAUCGGUUUGCCCCAUCAAGAUGGGCAGCUCCAGGAGUACUGCCUGUAUUUGAUGAGGAGACAAGAGAAUCUGAACCGUCCAUCUUUGGUGAGGAGUCAAUACCUGGUAAUGAAUUACAGAAGGAUUAUGAUGAUGACUACACAGAUAACAUUCAAGAGGAGGGUGAAAUUGAUGGAGAUUCCAGCUGCUAUCGUGUUCUCUCAAGCAAGACUCUAGCAGAUGUCGUUGAAGCACUUAUUGGGGUCUAUUAUGUAGCAGGAGGGAAAAUUGCUGCAAACCACUUGAUGAAGUGGAUUGGGAUUCAUGCCGAGUUGGAUCCUCAAGAGAUCCCUCCCCCGAAGCCAUAUAAUAUACCUGAGAGCAUAUUGAAAGGCAUCGAGUUUGAGACAUUGGAAGGCAUCUUGGGUAUGAAAUUCCAGAAUAAAGGUUUUCUUAUUGAGGCUAUAACGCAUGCAUCCAGGCCAUCUUCUGGCGUUUCCUGUUACCAGCGGUUGGAAUUUGUUGGUGAUGCUGUGUUGGAUCAUCUCAUCACAAAGCAUUUAUUUUUUACAUAUACUGAUCUACCUCCUGGUCGCUUGACUGACCUGAGAGCUGCAGCUGUUAAUAAUGAAAACUUUGCAAGGGUUGCAGUUAGGCGUAAGCUGCACACACAUCUUCGCCAUGGAUCAUCUGCACUGGAAAAACAGAUUCGGGAGUUCGUGAAGGAUGUCCGAGAAGAGAUUUCAAAAUCAGGUUUCAAUUCUUUUGGACUAGGGGACUGCAAGGCUCCUAAAGUUCUUGGAGACAUUAUUGAGUCUAUUGCUGGUGCAGUAUUCCUGGAUAGUGGGUAUGACACCUCGGCAGUCUGGAAGGUAUUCCAACCGCUCCUCGAACCUCUGGUAACGCCAGAGACCCUUCCAAUGCAUCCAAUUAGAGAGCUCCAAGAACGGUGCCAGCAACAAGCAGAAGGCUUAGAAUACAAAGCAUCCCGGGCAGGCAAUGUAGCUACCGUUGAAGUCUUUGUUGAUGGUGUUCAGAUUGGUGUAGCUCAAAACCCACAGAAGAAGAUGGCACAGAAGUUGGCGGCGAGAAACGCACUAGUGGUCCUAAAGGAGAAGGAAACCGCAGCAAAGAAAGAGACCGAAAAGGCCGGUGAUAAGAGCAAUGCUGGGUUCACCAGGCAGAACCUGAACGACACUUGCUUGAAAAGGCAGUGGCCAAUGCCACAGUACAGGUGCAUAAAUGAGGGCGGCCCUGCUCAUGCUAAAAGAUUUGUCUACGCGGUUAGGGUUAAUACAUCCGACCGCGGAUGGACCGACGAGUGCAUCGGGGAGCCGAUGCCGAGCGUGAAGAAGGCCAAGGACUCUGCCGCCAUGCUUCUCCUCGAGCUUCUGAAUAGAAGUUUCCCUGAUAAGCCCGACGGUAAGAAGUGA